GAUGAACGCUGGCGGCGUGCCUAAUACAUGCAAGUCGAGCGAACAGACGAGGAGCUUGCUCCUCUGACGUUAGCGGCGGACGGGUGAGUAACACGUGGAUAACCUACCUAUAAGACUGGGAUAACUUCGGGAAACCGGAGCUAAUGCCGGAUAAUAUAUUGAACCGCAUGGUUCAAUAGUGAAAGACGGUUUUGCUGUCACUUAUAGAUGGAUACGCGCCGCAUUAGCUAGUUGGUAAGGUAACGGCUUACCAAGGCAACGAUGCGUAGCCGACCUGAGAGGGGGAUCGGCCACACUGGAACUGAGACACGGUCCAGACUCCUACGGGAGGCAGCAGUAGGGAAUCUUCCGCAAUGGGCGAAAGCUUGACGGAGCAACGCCGCGUGAGUGAUGAAGGUCUUCGGAUCGUAAAACUCUGUUAUUAGGGAAGAACAAAUGUGUAAGUAACUAUGCACGUCUUGACGGUACCUAAUCAGAAAGCCACGGCUAACUACGUG
rnacentral:rRNA from 1 species